rnacentral:rRNA from 1 species
UACGGGGGGAGCAAGCGUUGUUCGGAUUUACUGGGCGUAAAGGGCGCGUAGGCGGUCAGCACAAGUCAGUUGUGAAAUCUCCGGGCUUAACUCGGAAAGGUCAACUGAUACUGUGCGACUAGAGUGCAGAAGGGGCAACUGGAAUUCUCGGUGUAGCGGUGAAAUGCGUAGAUAUCGAGAGGAACACCUGCGGCGAAGGCGGGUUGCUGGGCUGACACUGACGCUGAUGCGCGAACGCCAGGGGAGCGAACGGG